rnacentral:rRNA from 2 species
AGACCCGAAACCCGGUGAUCUAGCCAUGGGCAGGUUGAAGGUUGGGUAACACUAACUGGAGGACCGAACCGACUAAUGUUGAAAAAUUAGCGGAUGACCUGUGGCUGGGGGUGAAAGGCCAAUCAAACCGGGAGAUAGCUGGUUCUCCCCGAAAGCUAUUUAGGUAGCGCCUCGUGAAUUCAUCUCCGGGGGUAGAGCACUGUUUCGGCUAGGGGGCCAUCCCGGCUUACCAACCCGAUGCAAACUGCGAAUACCGGAGAAUGUUAUCACGGGAGACACACGGCGGGUGCUAACGUCCGUCGUGAAGAGGGAAACAACCCAGACCGCCAGCUAAGGUCCCAAAGUCAUGGUUAAGUGGGAAACGAUGUGGGAAGGCCCAGACAGCCAGGAUGUUGGCUUAGAAGCAGCCAUCAUUUAAAGAAAGCGUAAUAGCUCACUGGUCGAGUCGGCCUGCGCGGAAGAUGUAACGGGGCUAAACCAUGCACCGAAGCUGCGGCAGCGACACUCAGGUGUUGUUGGGUAGGGGAGCGUUCUGUAAGCCUGCGAAGGUGGCCUGUGAGGGUUGCUGGAGGUAUCAGAAGUGCGAAUGCUGACAUAAGUAACGAUAAAGCGGGUGAAAAGCCCGCUCGCCGG